rnacentral:rRNA from 1 species
CGGAGGAUCAUUACGAAUAACUAUGGUGUCUUGGUUGUCGCUGGCUCCUCGGAGCAUCGUGCACGCCCGCCAUUUUUAUCUAUCCACCUGUGCACCGAAUGUAGGUCUGGAUGACUCUCGCCUCCGGGCGGAUGCGAGGUUUGCGUUUCGCGUGCGAGCGCUCUCCUCGAAUUUCCAGGCUCUACGUCUCUUUACACACCCCAAACGUAUGAUGCAGAAUGUAGUCAAUGGGCCUUUACAAGCCUAUAAAACACUAUACAACUUUCAGCAACGGAUCUCUUGGCUCUCGCAUCGAUGAAGAACGCAGCGAAAUGCGAUAAGUAAUGUGAAUUGCAGAAUUCAGUGAAUCAUCGAAUCUUUGAACGCACCUUGCGCUCCUUGGUAUUCCGAGGAGCAUGCCUGUUUGAGUGUCAUUAAAUUCUCAACCUCACCGGUUUUCUGAACCGUUCUCCGAGGCUUGGACGUGGGGGUUUGUGCAGGUCGCCUCAGCGCGGUCUGCUCCCCUGAAAUGCAUUAGCGAGAUUCAUUCUGGACCUCCGUCUAUCGGUGUGAUAAUUAUCUACGUCGUUGACUUGGUUCGGACUCGCUUCUAACCGUCCGCGAGGACAACAUUACUUGACAAUUUGACCUCAAAUCAGGUAGGACUACCCGCUGAACUUAAGCAUAUCAAUAAGCGGAGGAAAAGAAACUAACAAGGAUUCCCCUAGUAACUGCGAGUGAAGCGGGAAAAGCUCAAAUUUAAAAUCUGGCGGUCCUUGGCCGUCCGAGUUGUAAUCUAGAGAAGUGUUACCCGCGUCGGACCGUGUACAAGUCUCCUGGAAUGGAGCGUCAUAGAGGGUGAGAAUCCCGUCUUUGACACGGACUACCGAGGCUUCUGUGGUGCGCUCUCAAAGAGUCGAGUUGUUUGGGAAUGCAGCUCAAAAUGGGUGGUAAAUUCCAUCUAAAGCUAAAUAUUGGCGAGAGACCGAUAGCGAACAAGUACCGUGAGGGAAAGAUGAAAAGAACUUUGGAAAGAGAGUUAAACAGUACGUGAAAUUGCUGAAAGGGAAACGCUUGAAGUCAGUCGCGUCCUUCGGGAAUCAGCCUUCCUUUUGGUUGGCGUACUUCCUGGUGGACGGGCCAGCAUCAGUUUUGACCGGUGGAAAAAGUUGUAGGGAAUGUGGCACCUCCGGGUGUGUUAUAGCCUUGCUUCGUAUACAUCGGUUGGGACUGAGGAACUCAGCACGCCGCAAGGCCGGGAUUCGUCCACG